rnacentral:rRNA from 1 species
ACGGAAGGCAGCAGUGAGGAAUAUUGGGCAAUGGGCGAAAGCCUGACCCAGCGACGCCGCGUGAAGGAUGAAGGUCUUCGGAUUGUAAACUUCUGUCGACAGGGAAGAAACAAAUGACGGUACCUGUUGAGAAAGCCACGGCUAACUACGUGCCAGCAGCCGCGGUAAUACGUAGGUGGCAAGCGUUAUCCGGAUUUACUGGGUGUAAAGGGUGUGUAGGCGGGAUUGCAAGUCAGAUGUGAAAAUUAUGAGCUUAACUCAUAACCUGCAUUUGAAACUGUAGUUCUUGAGAGUCGGAGAGGUAAACGGAAUUCCUGGUGUAGCGGUGAAAUGCGUAGAUAUCAGGAGGAACACCGGUGGCGAAGGCGGCUUACUGGACUGUAACUGACGUUGAGGCUCGAAAGCGUGGGGAGCAAACAGGAUUAGAUACCCUGGUA